AGCAGCCGCGGUAAUUCCAGCUCCAGUAGCGUAUAUUAAAGUUGUUGCAGUUAAAAAGCUCGUAGUUGAAUUUCGGGAUCAAAGAAUCGGUCAUGCCUUGGUAUGUACUGGUUUUAUUGGUUCUCACCUUCUAAAGAACCAUGAUGUCAUUCAUUUGAUGUUAUGGGGAAUUAGGACUGUUACCUUGAAAAAAUUAGAGUGUUUAAAGCAAGCUUACGCUUGAAUACAUUAGCAUGGAAUAAUGAAAUAGGACAUCAGAUUCUAUUUUGUUGGUUUCUAGGAUCGAUGUAAUGAUUAAUAGGGAUAGUUGGGGGCAUUAGUAUUCAAUUGUCAGAGGUGAAAUUCUUGGAUUUAUUGAAGACUAACUACUGCGAAAGCAUUUGCCAAGGAUGUUUUCAUUAAUCAAGAACGAAAGUUAGGGGAUCGAAGACGAUCAGAUACCGUCGUAGUCUUAACCAUAAACUAUGCCGACUAGGGAUCGGAUGAUGUUAAUUUUUUAAUGACUCAUUCGGCGCCUUAC
rnacentral:misc_RNA from 1 species